CUACGGGUUGCAGCAGUGGGGAAUAUUGCACAAUGGAGGAAACUCUGAUGCAGCAACGCCGCGUGGAGGAUGACACUUUUCGGAGCGUAAACUCCUUUUAUAUAGGAAGAAGAUGACGGUACUAUAUGAAUAAGCGCCGGCUAACUCCGUGCCAGCAGCCGGCGGUAAUACGGAGGGCGCAAGCGUUACUCGGAAUCACUGGGCGUAAAGAGCGUGUAGGCGGAUUAAAAAGUCAGAAGUGAAAUCCUAUAGCUUAACUAUAGAACUGCUUCUGAAACUCUUAAUCUAGAAUGUGGGAGAGGUAGAUGGAAUUUCUGGUGUAGGGGUAAAAUCCGUAGAGAUCAGAAGGAAUACCGAUUGCGAAGGCGAUCUACUAGAACAUUAUUGACGCUGAGACGCGAAAGCGUGGGGAGCAAACAGGAUUAGAUACCCGAGUAGUC
rnacentral:rRNA from 1 species